CAUUCCUGAUUCUUCAGCUUCAUGAAUGCAGAACUAAGACAGCACUCUUGGAAAUACAAGAUGACUUCAGAAUGUUCAGGAAUUGAUUGACUGCCGAAGAUAUGAGGAGAUGGCGUCCCAACAUUCAAAAUAGCCUGCCCUGCCUUAUAAGACCUAUUCAAGCAUCUCAACCCGCAACUGGAACCCAAGUUUCCAGGUGUACUUCAGAGUGAAGGCAUUACUCAUAAACCUCAUCAUUUGAAUAUUUUCAUCAUCCCUGUCCAUACUCCUGUGAAGCCGAGUUCCAUAAAACCUUCCUCAUCUCCCAUUUCCACAUACCUGGAUAUUUGAGACUACUUUUUUGGCCUGCUGGACAAUAUGCUGCUAUGAUGAAAAUCAAAAGUAAAAAAGAAAAAUUGAGAGCAGAAGAACUUUCAAAUGAGUUGGCUUUAUGAGCACAUUGCAAACCCAUGUGUCUGAGAGAAUAACUUGGGGCAUGUAUUUUCAUCUCUUGUAUAAACUAGUGAAUGAUAUUGCUGCUUUUAUAUCAUUGAAAAAUAAAACAUCUUAGUGCUAAGAAACAAUUUGAGAAAAGAUUAAUUUCAAGGAGCACCCAGGACAAAUUUUGAGAAAGGUGUUCAGAAUUGUUUCGAGUUGAAAGUAAAAUUUGUUUGGUAUGCUCAUUUCGAGGAAGAAUAACUUAAAAUUAAGAGUAAGAGGGUGUUUUAAAGAAGAAAAUAGGUGAAUGAAUAUUUGAUUCUUCUGUUAAUGUUCACAAUAAAACUGAAAGCAUUAUUUAUAUUUCCUAUGCAGCUUUCAUCAUUGAAAGGACUUUGCAAAGCCAAAAUGACACAUUUAAAAAUCUCUUCGGAGAGUUUCUAGCUUUCAGGUCACG